UCUCUGGUAGCUCAGUCGGUAAAGAAUCUGCCUGCAAUGCAGGAGACCUGGGUUCAAUUCCUGGGUUGGGAA
rnacentral:tRNA from 1 species